rnacentral:rRNA from 1 species
UACGAAGGGUGCAAGCGUUGCUCGGAAUUACUGGGCGUAAAGCGCACGUAGGCGGAUUGUUAAGUCGGGGGUGAAAGCCUGUGGCUCAACCACAGAAUGGCCUUCGAUACUGGACGGCUCGAGACCGGAAGAGGUCAGUGGAACUGCGAGUGUAGAGGUGAAAUUCGUAGAUAUUCGCAAGAACACCAGUGGCGAAGGCGGCUGACUGGUCCGGUUCUGACGCUGAGGCGCGAAAGCGUGGGGAGCAAACAGG